rnacentral:sRNA from 1 species
AAUUUUAAGAAGCAUCAAGAAAGCCUGCCUGUCUAACUUUGGAAAUAUCACCCUCAUGCUGUCUUCCCAGGAUGUGUCUCUCCCUAAGUAAGAGAUGUACUUCCUGGAGGGAGUGCAGUGUUGGGAAUCUGAAGACCCAGCUUUGAGCUGAAUUUGCUUUGUGAUACUUGAGACAGCGUUUCCCCACGUUGGCCAGGCUGGUCUUGAACUCCUGACCUCAAGUGAUCCGCCCUCCUCAGCCUCCCAAAGUGCUGGGUUUAUAAGCGUGAGCCACCGCGCCCCGGGGGAGUCAGAAAGUGUAUAAAUAAUUGCAGUGCUGCUUUGCUUCCAAAACCGGGCAGUGAGUUCAACAACAACGACAACAACAGCCGCAGCUCAUUCUGGCCGUCAUGGAGUUUCUUGAAAGAACGUAUCUUGUGAAUGAUAAAGCUGCCAAGAUGUAUGCUUUCACACUAGAAAGAAGGAGCUGCAAAUGAACACUUCAUAGGAAUGUGGAACUCCAACAGAAACCGGUGAAUAAAGAUCAGUGUCCCAGAGAGAGACCAGAG